AACGUAGGAUCCGAGCGUUAUCCGAAUUCACUGGGCGUAAAGCGCGUGUAGGCGGUACGGUAAGUUGGAUGUGAAAUCUCCCGGCUCAACUGGGAGGGGACGUUCAAUACUGUCGAACUAGAGGGCGGUAGAGGGAGGUGGAAUUCCCGGUGUAGUGGUGAAAUGCGUAGAUAUCGGGAGGAACACCAGAGGCGAAAGCGGCCUCCUGGACCGCACCUGACGCUCAGACGCGAAAGCUAGGGGAGCGAACGGG
rnacentral:rRNA from 1 species